rnacentral:tRNA from 1 species
UGCAGUGUAGCCAAGUGGUAAGGCAGUGGACUCUGAAUCCACCAUUCAUAGGUUCGAACCCUAUCACUGCAGCCA